UACGUAGGUGGCGAGCGUUGUCCGGAUUUACUGGGCGUAAAGAGCGCGCAGGCGGUCGUACAAGUCGCGUGUGAAAGCCCCCGGCUCAACUGGGGAGGGUCACGCGAUACUGUUCGACUCGAAGGCAGGAGAGGGAAGUGGAAUUCCCGGUGUAGUGGUGAAAUGCGUAGAUAUCAGGAAGAACACCCGUGGCGAAGGCGGCUCUCUGGGACGGUACUGACGCUGAGACGCGAAAGCGUGGGGAGCGAACAGG
rnacentral:rRNA from 1 species